rnacentral:rRNA from 1 species
GACGAACGCUGGCGGCGUGCCUAACACAUGCAAGUCGAACGGAAAGGCCGUGCUUUUGUGGGCUGGUCGAGUUGCGAACGGGUGAGUAACACGUGGGUAACCUGCCCUUGACCUUGGGAUAACUUCAGGAAACUGGGGCUAAUACCGCAUAGGAGCUCUUGCUGCAUGGUGGGGGUUGGAAAGUUUCGGUUGUUGGGGAUGGAAUCGCGGCUUAUCAGCUUGAUGGUGGGGUAGUGGCUUACCAAGACUUUGACGGGUAGCCGGCCUGGGAGGGGGACAGGCCCCAUUGGAACUGGGAUACGGCCCGGACGCCUACGGUACGCAGCGGUGGGGAAUAGUGCACUAUGGGCGGAAGGCGGACGCAGCAACGCCGCGUGGGGGAUGUCGGCCUUCGGGUUGUAAACCGCUUUCGCCUGUGACGAAGCGUGAGUGACGGUAACGGGUAAAUAAGCACCGGCUAACUACGUG